rnacentral:rRNA from 1 species
CCUGGCUCAGGACGAACGCUGGCGGCGCGCNUAACACAUGCAAGUCGAACGGAGCUAUAUUGAAAGCUUACUGGAUAUAUAGCUAGUGGCGGACGGGUGAGUAACACGUGAGCAACCUGCCUUUCAGAGUGGAAUAACGUUUGGAAACGAACGCUAAUACCGCAUAAUGUCAGAGGACGGCAUCGUCUUUUGACCAAAGAUUUAUCGCUGAAAGAUGGGCUCGCGGCCGAUUAGGUAGUUGGUGAGAUAAUAGCCCACCAAGCCGACGAUCGGUAGCCGGACUGAGAGGUUGAACGGCCACAUUGGGACUGAGACACGGCCCAGACUCCUACGGGAGGCAGCAGUGGGGGAUAUUGCACAAUGGGGGAAACCCUGAUGCAGCGACGCCGCGUGAGGGAAGACGGCCUUCGGGUUGUAAACCUCUGUCUUCGGGGACGAAUAAAUGACGGUACCCGAGGAGGAAGCCACGGCUAACUACGUGCCAGCAGCCGCGGUAAUACGUAGGUGGCAAGCGUUGUCCGGAAUUACUGGGUGUAAAGGGAGCGUAGGCGGGGAGGCAAGUUGAAUGUCUAAACUAUCGGCUCAACUGAUAGUCGCGUUCAAAACUGCCACUCUUGAGUGCAGUAGAGGUAGGCGGAAUUCCUAGUGUAGCGGUGAAAUGCGUAGAUAUUAGGAGGAACACCAGUGGCGAAGGCGGCCUACUGGGCUGUAACUGACGCUGAGGCUCGAAAGCGUGGGUAGCAAACAGGAUUAGAUACCCUGGUAGUCCACGCCGUAAACGAUGAUUACUAGGUGUGGGGGGACUGACCCCUUCCGUGCCGGAGUUAACACAAUAAGUAAUCCACCUGGGGAGUACGGCCGCAAGGCUGAAACUCAAAGGAAUUGACGGGGGCCCGCACAAGCAGUGGAGUAUGUGGUUUAAUUCGAAGCAACGCGAAGAACCUUACCAGGUCUUGACAUCGAGUGACGAACUUAGAGAUAAGUUCUUCCUUCGGGACACGAAGACAGGUGGUGCAUGGUUGUCGUCAGCUCGUGUCGAGAGAUGUUGGGUUAAGUCCCGCAACGAGCGCAACCCUUAUCAUUAGUUGCUACGCAAGAGCACUCUAAUGAGACUGCCGUUGAUAAAACGGAGGAAGGUGGGGAUGACGUCAAAUCAUCAUGCCCCUUAUGACCUGGGCUACACACGUACUACAAUGGUGUCAAACAGAGGGAAGCAACACAGCGAUGUGAAGCAGAACCCGAAAAAUCAUCUCAGUUCAGAUUGCAGGCUGCAACUCGCCUGCAUGAAGUCGGAAUUGCUAGUAAUCGCGGAUCAGCAUGCCGCGGUGAAUACGUUCCCGGGCCUUGUACACACCGCCC